GACGAACGCUGGCGGCGUGCUUAACACAUGCAAGUCGAACGGACAGGCCCUGCUUUUGUGGGGUGCUCGUGUGGCGAACGGGUGAGUAACACGUGAGUAACCUGCCCUUGACUUUGUGAUAACUUCAGGGGACUGGGUCUAAUACCGGAUAGGAGCUCCUGCUGCGUGGUGGGGGUUGGAAAGUUUCGGCGGUUCGGUAUGGUCUCGCGGGUUAUCAGCUUGUUGGUGUGGUAGUGGCUUACCAAGGCUUUGACGGGUAGCCGGCCUGAGAGGGUGACCGGCGAUACAGGGACCGAGAGAAGGCCCAGAUACCGACGGGUGGCAGAAGGGGGGAAUACUGAAGGAGGGGCGGAAGGCUGAUGCUGCAAGGCCGCGGGCGGGAUGACGGUGUUAUGGUGGAAAACCGCUUGCGUCUGUGACGAAGCGUGAGUGACGGUAACGGGUAAAGAAGCACCCGCCAAAUACGGGC
rnacentral:rRNA from 1 species